CAGCCGCCACGGUAAUACGAAGGGGGCUAGCGUUGCUCGGAAUGACUGGGCGUAAAGGGCGCGUAGGCGGCGGCCAAAGUCAGGCGUGAAAUUCCCGGGCUCAACCUGGGGGCUGCGUUUGAUACUUGGUUGCUUGAGUGGGGAAGAGGGUCGUGGAAUUCCCAGUGUAGAGGUGAAAUUCGUAGAUAUUGGGAAGAACACCGGUGGCGAAGGCGGCGACCUGGUCCUUUACUGACGCUGAGGCGCGAAAGCGUGGGGAGCAAACAGGAUUAGAUACCCCCGUAGUCCCUGUCUCUUAUAC
rnacentral:rRNA from 1 species